GACGAACGCUGGCGGCGUGCUUAACACAUGCAAGUCGAGCGGUAAGGCCCUUCGGGGUACACGAGCGGCGAACGGGUGAGUAACACGUGGGUGACCUGCCUCUAGCUCUGGGAUAAGCCUGGGAAACUGGGUCUAAUACCGGAUAUGACUCCACGGCGCAUGUUGUGGGGUGGAAAGCCUUGUGUGGCUAGAGAUGGGCCCGCGGCCUAUCAGCUUGUUGGUGGGGUGANGGCCUACCAAGGCGACGACGGGUAGCCGGCCUGAGAGGGCGACCGGCCACACUGGGACUGAGACACGGCCCAGACUCCUACGGGAGGCAGCAGUGGGGAAUCUUGCGCAAGUGGGCGAAAGCCUGACGCAGCGACGCCGCGU
rnacentral:rRNA from 1 species